ensembl:lncRNA
GUCCUCAGAAAACUACCCCAGGGAUUCUGUCCAGGCUUAAUAGAUUCAUUGAAAUGGGAGAGGCAUGGCGUCCUGUGUUUCUCCACCUCGCUCUGAACUGGAAUGGGGGCCUUUGGUUGUUGGCAUCUUCCUUGCAGCAUUUCAGAUGUAUUUGACCUAAAAGCAUGAGCUCAUCACAUAUGAUUACUUACGAAUAGGUGUUUCCGUUUUGAGAAGAGAUAAAAAGUUUCCUGGCUUUUAUUCACUUCUCCGUGGAGCCUGCCCUGGUGGCCAGGCCCUCUCGGCCUGCUCCCUUCUUGAAUGACUGGGAGCACUCAAGGAACCAAGGCAGAACAAUGCCAGGUGGCCAAAUGGCAGAACCGGUCCAAACUGGAGAGGUCCAAGAUGGCGAUGGGGUGCCGUGUGCAAAAGGAAACGUGUGCAAAAGCUUCCCUCUGUUCCCUGACUCGAGAAAGAAAGGCUCGGAAGCUGGUCCAUGUGCUGCAGAAGGUUCUCACCACCUUCAGGCUGCGACGUCUGCCCUGGUCACUGGCUCCCUUCCUGGCAGAUGGCGAGCUCCACCGCUCAGAGGACCUGCUGGCGGCUGAGUCUUAGCAGAGUGUGGGUCCUCAACGCCUUCCCUGCCUCGUCUCCCUGAAGGAGAAGCUCUUGCUAAAGGAUUUUGCUGCCUCCCUUGGCAUUCGGUGCCCCCUUGAUUAUUUUCAAGUCAAGCACUUUUUCAGCUGUGAGCGCGUAUGCAGAUCAUUCUAAACAGAAGCCUGUGAUAUGCUUUAUAUUCAUGGAAACUUCAGAGCAAACGUUUAAAAGCCAAACCAUCUUGGAGUAA